UGCGAUGAGUCGAAUGCGUUUUUAGAACGCACACGCGGCCUACUGUAUUAAAUUACCAGCCACGGAUUUGGCGUAGGUGGUAAUGGUAUUGUGGAAUUC
rnacentral:ncRNA from 1 species